UACGUAGGGUGCGAGCGUUGUCCGGAAUUACUGGGCGUAAAGAGCUCGUAGGUGGUUUGUCGCGUUGUUCGUGAAAUCUCACGGCUUAACUGUGAGCGUGCGGGCGAUACGGGCAGACUAGAGUACUGCAGGGGGAGACUGGAAUUCCUGGUGUAGCGGUGGAAUGCGCAGAUAUCAGGAGGAACACCGGUGGCGAAGGCGGGGUCUCUGGGCAGUAACUGACGCUGAGGAGCGAAAGCGUGGGGGAGCGAACAGG
rnacentral:rRNA from 1 species